rnacentral:rRNA from 1 species
UACGGAGGGUGCGAGCGUUGUCCGGAAUCAUUGGGCGUAAAGGGCGCGUAGGUGGCCCGGUCAGUUCGUGGUGAAAGCGCGGGGCUCAACCCUGCGUCGGCCAUGAAUACUGCCGCGGCUGGAGCACUGUAGAGGCAGGCGGAAUUCGGGUGUAGCGGUGGAAUGCGUAGAGAUCCGGAAGAACACCGGUGGCGAAGGCGGGU